AUACGGAGGAUCCGAGCGUUAUCCGGAUUUAUUGGGUUUAAAGGGAGCGUAGGUGGAUUGUUAAGUCAGUUGUGAAAGUUUGCGGCUCAACCGUAAAAUUGCAGUUGAAACUGGCAGUCUUGAGUACAGUAGAGGUGGGCGGAAUUCGUGGUGUAGCGGUGAAAUGCUUAGAUAUCACGAAGAACUCCGAUCGCGAAGGCAGCUCACCGGGCCGGAACUGACACUGAUGCUCGAAAGUGCGGGUAUCAAACAGGAUUAGAUACCCUGGUAGUCCGCACAGUAAACGAUGAAUACUCGCUGUUUGCGAUACACGGUAAGCGGCCAAGCGAAAGCGUUAAGUAUUCCACCUGGGGAGUACGCCGGCAACGGUGAAACUCAAAUGAAUUGACGGGG
rnacentral:rRNA from 1 species